AUUGAACGCUGGCGGCAUGCUUUACACAUGCAAGUCGAACGGUAACAGGCCGCAAGGUGCUGACGAGUGGCGAACGGGUGAGUAAUGCAUCGGAACGUGCCCAGUCGUGGGGGAUAACGCAGCGAAAGUUGCGCUAAUACCGCAUACGAUCUAUGGAUGAAAGCGGGGGACCGUAAGGCCUCGCGCGAUUGGAGCGGCCGAUGUCAGAUUAGGUAGUUGGUGGGGUACAGGCUCACCAAGCCGACGAUCUGUAGCUGGUCUGAGAGGACGACCAGCCACACUGGGACUGAGACACGGCCCAGACUCCUACGGGAGGCAGCAGUGGGGAAUUUUGGACAAUGGGCGCAAGCCUGAUCCGGCAAUGCCGCGUGCAGGAAGAAGGCCUUCGGGUUGUAAACUGCUUUUGUACGGAACGAAACGGUCCUGGUUAAUACCCGGGGCUAAUGACGGUACCGUAAGAAUAAGCACCGGCUAACUACGUGCCAGCAGCCGCCGUAAAAC
rnacentral:rRNA from 1 species